UAAUACCAGCUCCCCGAGUGGUAGGGACAAUUAUUGGGCUUAAAGCGUCCGUAGCCGGCCUGGCAAGUCUUUCGUUAAAUCCAGCGACUUAAUCGUUGGGCUGCGGGAGAUACUGUCGGGCUAGGGGACGGGAGAGGCCGAUGGUAUUCUUGGGGUAGGGGUGAAAUCCUAUAAUCCCAGGAGGACCACCAGUGGCGAAGGCGAUCGGCUAGAACGCGCUCGACGGUGAUGGACGAAAGCUGGGGGAGCGAACCGGAUUAGAUACCCGGGUAGUCCCAGCUGUAAACGAUGCGAGCUAGGUGUUGGGGUGGUUACGAACCGCUUCAGUGCCGUAGGGAAACUGUUAAGCUCGCCGUCUGGGAAGUACGGUCGCAAGGCUG
rnacentral:rRNA from 1 species